UACAGAGGUCCCAAGCGUUGUUCGGAUUUAUUGGGCGUAAAGGGUGCGUAGGCGGCGAGGUAAGUCUGGUGUGAAAUCCUGGGGCUCAACCCCAGAAUUGCACUGGAUACUGCUUUGCUAGAGUGCUGGAGAGGUUCGCAGAAUUCCCGGUGUAGCGGUGAAAUGCGUAGAGAUCGGGAGGAAUACCAGAGGCGAAGGCGGCGAACUGGACAGCAACUGACACUCAACUACGAAAGCGUGGGUAGCAAACAGGG
rnacentral:rRNA from 1 species